UACGUAGGGUGCAAGCGUUGUCCGGAAUUAUUUGGGCGUAAAGAGCUCGUAGGCGGUCUGUCACGUCGGCUGUGAAAACCCGAGGCUCAACCUCGGGCCUGCAGUCGAUACGGGCAAACUAGAGUACUGCAGGGGAGACUGGAAUUCCUGGUGUAGCGGUGAAAUGCGCAGAUAUCAGGAGGAACACCGGUGGCGAAGGCGGGUCUCUGGGCAGUAACUGACGCUGAGGAGCGAAAGCGUGGGGAGCGAACAGG
rnacentral:rRNA from 1 species